AUGGAGAUCAACAGAUCAGCUGCAUGUGUAGUGACAGUAUUGUGUAUUUGUGCCACAUCCGCUGCACAAGGAUUUUGCCAUAAUGACAAAGGGAGCCACAGCAAUGCAGGUUUCAGUGGACAGAUGGAAGGCAGCCAUCAUCUGCACUGUUGUGGAAAUGUGUCGUACAAGAUCUCAGAAAGUUCCUGCUGUAAUGGAAAUGUAACUCUGGGAUUAAGCCAGCUGGUGGCUGACUGCUGUGAUUCUGUAUCUUACAAUCCCCUUAACGAGAUUUGCUGUAAUGGCAGCAUACUGACACGAAGCAGCACUCACAUGAAAUGCUGUGGCAAAGCCAUGUACCUGACAACGACUCAUUUGUGUUGUGGUGGUGACAAAAUAUUUGAAUGGAAGGAAAAUCAUUCUUGUUGUGGCAAUGAAACAUAUGACAUGACAACCCACUGCUGCUGCACUAACCUUAAUCUAAAAGUAAAGCCUUAUAAUGACACUUGCUGUCCAAAAGCAACAGAUUCUGAUAAAAAAACAAAAUGCCAACAAGGCUCCCUUCCCACCUGGUAA
rnacentral:lncRNA from 1 species